UUAAGCAGAUACUAGUGGUGUGCACUGGUCCAGAUGCACAGGUUAAAAUAUUGAAGCAUUUCUUAACAGACUGUGCUUCUAUGAACCCCCCAGCCUCCCAAGUGCUUCCAUCACCCCAGUCCCUCCCUAGGACUUUGGAUCUCCUGGCCAUCCAGCAACUAAAGAGUUCACGUUGGCUCUGGCUCUACUGUCGCCAGAGCAGAUGACGAGGAGACCAAGACCAGGAGAGACUAGCGCCUCGUCCAGGGUCCACCUUGGAGACGGCAAGUAGCAGAGCCCAGAGCUGAACCCCGCCAGAGGCUCCACUAUGCUACAGUCACACACAAAUCUCUCCCUCCACAUCGUCCAGACCAGCCCAGACAUGGAGCUGCAGCCUGCUGGCACGUGUUCAUGCACACGCCUCCCCUUGCCUGCAGCCUGCGUAGACAUGGAGCAAUCACAGCCUUCCACCAUCUCCCUUCUGCUACCCCGCCAGCCUGGGGCCAGCUGACACAAGCCCAGGUCCUCGCAAAGACCCAGUCGUUCCUCCCUCAGACCCAGGAGUCUGGCCCCACUCACCCCGGCUCACUCUCUGUUUGGCGCCCGACAGGAUGCCCGGCGUGUCGAUGAUGCUAAUGCUCUCCAGGACCUGAUUGGGGAGCUGGGCACACAUGAACCUGAGCCGGAAGAGAAGGCAGGGGUCAACACGGGGAGGCCAGGAGGGGAGCACACAUUAGAAGGGAAACCAGAUCCACAGAGGUGGAUCAGGUACAGAGAAGCACGGGAUCUUGAAAGAUCAGAACAGAGAAUAAUAACUAUUAAAAAAAAAACACACACACACACAACUCAGAGCUGAUGUUUACUGAGCACUUACUUUGUGCCAGGUGCCAUUCUAAGCACUUUAUACAUGAGUGCGGACUAUGGUUAUCUCCAUUUUCCAGGUGAGGAUAAAAGAGGCACAGAGAGGUUAGGUCAUUUGCCCCAGGCCCCCCACGUGGAAAGGAGCUGGACCCAGGCAAGCUGGCUUCACUGCUCCCCUAGAGGAGGCCAGAGAGCAGAGGCAGGAAAUAGAAGGAUCAGGAAGAGAAGGGAAUUGGAGCUGAAAAGGAAGAAACACAGGCAGGGAGGGAUGCAGGCAGGCAGGGGACAGGAAGAUGCACCCCUGCCUCUCAGGCUGCGCACCUGUUGAGGAAGGUGUUCCCGAAAGGGUUGAGCUUGCGGAAAGGCUUGUCCGGGUCAACGACCAGGGCGUUGCCUGGCACGGUGCCCUCGGUGUCCCCAUGCAUGACGGCCACGAAGCAGUCGGUGGUGGGCUCGGGCCCCACGCGGGAGCCUGGCACUUCCUGCUCCAGCAGGUACUGGAUGAAGCUGGUCUUGCCUGUGCUGUACUGGCCCGCCACCAGGACCAUGGGCUUGCCGUCGAAGUCGGCAUCCUCCAGGGCCGGCGAGUGGAAGGCGCCGAAUCGGUAAUGCUCCUCGAGAGGCAGCAGCUUGGUGCGGUACAGCUCCUUGAGGGACGAGGUGACCGUGCGGAUGGCCUCAGGCUGCUGGCCCCGCGCCCCGCCCCGCUUCAGCCAGCUGAACAUGGUGGCUGCACACUGUCCACUGGGCUCUGGGCUCACGACGGAGACGUGCAGGGGAGAGCUGCCUGCAAGAGGACGGCAGGGUGUUGAUGGGGGGGCUGCCUGGCAGAGGAGGAGAAGGACAAGGAAGGGAGCCGGAAGGUGCAACGGGUGGAGGAGGCUGGGGGGAUUGGUAGAGGAGGAGCAGCAGAGAGCCCUGGAGGGCAGGAGGUGACGGUUCAUGGAGGAGGAAGGUGAUUAUUCCAGAGGGAGGAAGAGAAAGAGAUUAACAGUGGGAUGAUUGAAGAAGCAGGACUGAUGGUGGGAGACCAAGGGAUGGACAAGGGGAAGCAGCUGCCUCGAAGAAAUGUAUUCCUUCACUGGUUCAUUCUUUACUUCCUCUCUCCCCCUCUGCUAUCAUUUCACACAUUUUCACUAAAAUCACCUCAUGUGUCAGGCACUAUGGAUCCAGAAAUAGGCCUGAGACUGGCUCCCUACCCACUCAAGGCCCCCAUUGAGGAGGGGACCUGGCACCAAGCAGUGAUGCCUGGGAAAUGCCGGGCAGUGGACUUGUGGGCACAAGAUGGGGACAUAGUGAGCUGACCACAGGGUUAGCAAACUCUGAGCUGAACGGCUCCCCUCCAUGCACAAUAGGGCUACCGUGCAAGACGGGCAGGGAGGAUGGUGUGUGCCGAGGCCCAGAGCUGUGAAAUGCAUGGAGGGAUAGCUGGACACAGGAGAGCUGAGAAAUAAGGCAGAGGAGUUGCCUGGGUGCACCCAGGUCAUGAGGGGCCUCAAGCGAUCACAAGAGUAAUAACAUUUAUGAUCACUGCAUGCCAGACACUGCUCUAACUCAUCUAAUCUUCAUAACAACAUUGUAAGGUAGGACAAUUUAUCCCCACAUUUCUGACUCACAAGGGGGUUCAGGAAGAUAGCAAUAACUUAUCCAAGAUCACUCAGUUAGAAAGCGCUCAGUCUGGGAUUCCAGGCAACCUGACCUUGGAACCUGUGCUCCUA